rnacentral:rRNA from 1 species
UAACUGGAGGACCGAACCGACUAAUGUUGAAAAAUUAGCGGAUGACCUGUGGCUGGGGGUGAAAGGCCAAUCAAACCGGGAGAUAGCUGGUUCUCCCCGAAAGCUAUUUAGGUAGCGCCUCGUGAAUUCAUCUCCGGGGGUAGAGCACUGUUUCGGCUAGGGGGCCAUCCCGGCUUACCAACCCGAUGCAAACUGCGAAUACCGGAGAAUGUUAUCACGGGAGACACACGGCGGGUGCUAACGUCCGUCGUGAAGAGGGAAACAACCCAGACCGCCAGCUAAGGUCCCAAAGUCAUGGUUAAGUGGGAAACGAUGUGGGAAGGCCCAGACAGCCAGGAUGUUGGCUUAGAAGCAGCCAUCAUUUAAAGAAAGCGUAAUAGCUCACUGGUCGAGUCGGCCUGCGCGGAAGAUGUAACGGGGCUAAACCAUGCACCGAAGCUGCGGCAGCGAACGUAUCACUUAAAGCGAUUCAGCGGGUUACGAUUGACGGAGCGAAGCGACGUCAAAGCGUAUACAAAGUCGAGUCGGUUUAAGGAUACGUUCGUUGGGUAGGGGAGCGUUCU